rnacentral:rRNA from 1 species
CUCUUUGACUCCUACGGGAGGCAGCAGUGGGGAAUAUUGCACAAUGGGCGCAAGCCUGAUGCAGCCAUGCCGCGUGUAUGAAGAAGGCCUUCGGGUUGUAAAGUACUUUCAGCAGUGAGGAAGGUGGAUAUGUUAAUAGCAUAUUCAUUUGACGUUAGCUGCAGAAGAAGCACCGGCUAACUCCGUGCCAGCAGCCGCGGUAAUACGGAGGGUGCGAGCGUUAAUCGGAAUUACUGGGCGUAAAGCGCAUGCAGGUGGUUUGUUAAGUCAGAUGUGAAAGCCCCGGGGCUCAACCUCGGAAUUGCAUUUGAAACUGGCAAACUAGAGUACUGUAGAGGGGGUAGAAUUUCAGGUGUAGCGGUGAAAUGCGUAGAGAUCUGAAGGAAUACCGGUGGCGAAGGCGGCCCCCUGGACAGAUACUGACACUCAGAUGCGAAAGCGUGGGGAGCAAACAGGAUUAGAUACCCUGGGAA